rnacentral:rRNA from 1 species
GACGAACGCUUGCGGCGUGCUUAACACAUGCAAGUCGAGCGAUGAAGCUGGAGCUUGCUCCGGUGGAUUAGUGGCGAACGGGUGAGUAACACGUGAGCAAUCUGCCCUUGACUCUGGGAUAACUGCGGGAAACUGUAGCUAAUACCGGAUAUGAGGCUCGAAGGCAUCUUCGGGUCUGGAAAGAAUUUCGGUCAAGGAUGAGCUCGCGGCCUAUCAGCUUGUUGGUGAGGUAAUGGCUCACCAAGGCGACGACGGGUAGCAGGGCUGAGAGGGUGACCGGCCAUACUGGGACUGAGACACGGCCCAGACUCCUACGGGAGGCAGCAGUGGGGAAUAUUGCACAAUGGGCGAAAGCCUGAUGCAGCAACGCCGCGUGAGGGAUGAAGGCCCUCGGGUUGUAAACCUCUUUUAGCAGGGAAGAAGCGAAAGUGACGGUACCUGCAGAAAAAGCACCGGCUAACUACGUGCCAGCCGCUGCCGUAA